rnacentral:rRNA from 1 species
UACGUAGGGCGCAAGCGUUGUCCGGAAUUAUUGGGCGUAAAGAGCUCGUAGGCGGCCUGUUGCGUCCGCUGUGAAAUCCCGGGGCUCAACCCCGGGCCUGCAGUGGAUACGGGCUGGCUAGAGGCAGGCAGGGGAGAACGGAAUUCCUGGUGUAGCGGUGAAAUGCGCAGAUAUCAGGGGGAACACCGGUGGCGAAGGCGGUUCUCUGGGCCUGUACUGACGCUGAGGAGCGAAAGCGUGGGGAGCAAACAGG